rnacentral:rRNA from 1 species
AGCGAACGCUGGCGGCAGGCUUAACACAUGCAAGUCGAGCGGGCCCUUCGGGGUCAGCGGCGGACGGGUGAGUAACGCGUGGGAACGUGCCUUCUGGUUCGGAAUAACCCUGGGAAACUAGGGCUAAUACCGGAUACGCCCUUUUGGGGAAAGGUUUACUGCCGGAAGAUCGGCCCGCGUCUGAUUAGCUAGUUGGUGGGGUAACGGCCUACCAAGGCGACGAUCAGUAGCUGGUCUGAGAGGAUGAUCAGCCACACUGGGACUGAGACACGGCCCAGACUCCUACGGGAGGCAGCAGUGGGGAAUAUUGGACAAUGGGCGCAAGCCUGAUCCAGCCAUGCCGCGUGAGUGAUGAAGGCCUUAGGGUUGUAAAGCUCUUUUAUCCGGGACGAUAAUGACGGUACCGGAGGAAUAAGCCCCGGCUAACUUCGUGCCAGCAGCCGCGGUAAAAC